AUCUAACAGACGAGCCCCAAAUAGAACGAAACGCUCAUCCUGGAU
rnacentral:hammerhead_ribozyme from 1 species